rnacentral:rRNA from 1 species
AACGAACGCUGGCAGCAGGCUUAACACAUGCAAGUCGAACGCAUCCUUCGGGGUGAGUGGCAGACGGGUGAGUAACGCGUGGGAACGUGCCCUUCAGUUCGGGAUAACCCAGGGAAACUUGGGCUAAUACCGGAUACGUGCGAGAGCAGAAAGAUUUAUCGCUGAAGGAUCGGCCCGCGUCUGAUUAGCUAGUUGGUGGGGUAAUGGCCCACCAAGGCGACGAUCAGUAGCUGGUCUGAGAGGAUGAUCAGCCACAUUGGGACUGAGACACGGCCCAAACUCCUACGGGAGGCAGCAGUGGGGAAUAUUGGACGAUGGGCGCAAGCCUGAUCCAGCCAUGCCGCGUGAGUGAUGAGGGCCUUAGGGUUGUAAAGCUCUUUCGUCCGGGACGAUAAUGACGGUACCGGAAGAAGAAGCCCCGGCUAACUUCGUGCCAGCCGCCGCAGUAA